UACGGAGGUUGCGAGCGUUGUUCGGAAUGACUGGGCGUAAAGGGAGCGCAGGCGGUUCGGUUUGUCCGGCGUGAAAGCCCGGGGCUCAACCCCGGCGGGCCGUCGGAAACGGCCGAACUCGAGUACGGAAGAGGAGAGCGGAAUUCCGGGUGUAGCGGUGAAAUGCGUAGAUAUCCGGAGGAACACCGGUGGCGAAAGCGGCUCUCUGGUCCGAUACUGACGCUCAGGCUCGAAAGCGUGGGGAGCAAACGGG
rnacentral:rRNA from 1 species